AGUUUUUUUAGGACAAUCUUACCCUUCAAUUGGCGUCAUAUUUUCCUUUGAAAGUUUUCCCCUUUCUCCCAAAAUAUUUCACCUUCUUCUCUCUCGGACUUUGAAUCGCUGAUUCUCGAUAGCGUUGCGUCGUUGAUUCCGAUGGAUCGAACUCAGAUAGUUCUGUUAGGGCUGCCGAUCUUCUUGCUUUUUACUGAUAUUGUGAAUCUUUUCACUCCUCCGCCUCCGAAGCCUGCUGUCAAUCAUCCUCCACCUCGAGUUCACUACCAGCCUAAAUCUCAAUCAGUCAUCCAGGAACCGCUUGAAUUUCCUACGGAGAAACGGAGCGUAAUUGGAGGAAUUGGCCAGGGUAGCGUUAUUAAUAUCAAUUUCUGUGUUUCUUGUUCUUACAGAGGCACUGCAAUUGCCAUGAAAAAUAUGCUGGAGUCGUCAUUUCCUGGAGUUGAAGUUAUUUUGGCAAAUUACCCUCCACCAUUCCCAAAGCGCCUUCUUAGUAAAGUAGUACCCGUAGUUCAAUUUGGAAUUAUUGGAACAAUAAUGGCGGGGGAGCAUAUUUUUCCUAGGUUGGGGAUGGCACCACCACCUUGGUACUAUUCUUUGCGUGCUAAUAGGUUUGGAAGCAUUGCAAGCACUUGGCUAUUCGGAAAUUUUAUUCAAUCAUUCUUACAAAGUUCCGGAGCUUUCGAAGUAUAUUGCAACGGUGAAAUGGUCUUUUCUAAGUUGAAGGAGCAGAGAUUUCCGGGCGAGAUUGAGUUGAGAGAUCUUAUUGGAAGGAAAGUUUCUGGGUCGAGAUUUGUUGACAACUCUGGAGGAGUUUGGUCAUAGAUUAAAGAGAGCUCAAGAGAGAAAGAAAGAAAAUAAAGAGAAAAUCCUGUGCAAAUUUCUUGAGAAAUCUGAUGAAGAAGAUGAAGUUUGAUAAGUGCAAGAAAUGUAAAGAGAGGAAGAAGAAUAACAACAGGGUUUAACGUGGUUCGGCAACAGUGGCCUACAUCCACGGAGGAGCUGGAACAACUUUAUUUCCUGUAGAGAUUUGAAGUACAACAACAGAUGAGUAACUAUAAAUCUUUUCUUGUUUUCUAUGUAUUGAAGAUUCUAGCUAGGAUCCUUUAUAUAGGAUUUUACAAAGUAGUUGUAACAGAAUGUAAAGUUUAUUUCAUACACAUUUCUUAACAAAUCUCCACCUUGAAAUGAACUUUAAUUAGAUUCAGCUCCUCUUUGCUAACUCUUUUGUUUCAUCCUUUGUCUUUCAGUUCAAACUCGAUGAUGUUAAGAAAUUUUUGAAGUUUGAGCUGGGUCACGCCUUUGGUCAGCAUGUCAGAGGUAUUGUCCGAGGUUAGAGAGAGCUUGAGAGAGAAAGAAAGAAAAGAGAGAGAAAACUCUGUGCAAAUUUCUUGAGAAAUCUGAUGAAGAAGAUGAAGUUUGAUAAGUGAAAGAAGUGUAAAGAGAGAAAGAAGAAUCACAAUAGGGUUUAACGUGGUUCGGCAAGGCCUACAUCCACGGGCUGGAACAACUUUAUUUCUUACAGAGAUUGGAAGUACAAUAAUAGAUGAGUAGCUAUAAAUCUCUUCUUAUUUUCUAUGUAUUGAAGAUUCUAACUAGGAUUCUUUAUAUAGGAUUUUACAAAGUAAUUGUAACAGAAUGUAAAGUUUAUUUCAUACCUAUUUCUUAACCUUCAUAAAUAGAGUGAAUUGAAUUUUUGGAUCCUACAUAUGAUGAAUGACUAAUGUGCAACUGUUUGUCGGUGAGGUGGUAGCUGCUCAGGUUGUCUUCCGUCGUGGGUAUUUUGAAGCUGAAGCGGGAGAAGUUUUUGCUCUGUUAGUGGGUCUGCGGCUGGCGUGAGGAGAUUGGCUAUGGAGAUAUUGGGCUUGAAUUUGAUGCUGAGAGCAUGGUUAAAUCUCUCAAAUCCCUUUCCUUCUCUCUCCCCCCUUUUGAGUUACUUAGGUUGAAGUGUAUUAUCUCUUAAAUAAAUUAAAUGUGAUAGAAUUGAGUUAUGUUCUAGAUGUUGUAAUAAGGUGGUCCAUUCUUUGGUCAAACAUAUUUUGUCGAUUUGUAUUUUGCUAUGUUGGAUUGAUGAUUUUUCUUGUUGGCUUACCUACAUUAUUAAGACUAACAAGGAUGACAUUGAUGAUCA